rnacentral:rRNA from 1 species
GACGAACGCUGGCGGCGUGCUUAACACAUGCAAGUCGAACGAAGUGGCGAACGGGUGAGUAACGCGUAAUCAAACUGCCCUUCAGAGGGGGACCACAGGUGGAAACGACUGCUAAUACCGCAUAAAGAAGGGGGGGAAUGCGUCGGAUUAGCUAGUGGGAGGGGAAACGGCCCACCAAGGCGAUGAGCAGUAGCCGGUCUGAGAGGAUGAACGGCCACAGUGGGACUGAGACACUGCCCAGACUCCUACGGGAGGCAGCAGUGGGGAAUCUUCCGCAAUGGACGAAAGUCUGACGGAGCAACGCCGCGUGAGUGAUGACGGCCUUCGGGUUGUAAAGCUCUGUUAAUCGGGACGCGGUACCGGAAUAGAAAGCCACGGCUAACUACGUGCCAGCCGCCGCGGUAAUUC